CUUUUUGACACUUACACGGCGACUAGGUUAUCGCGCAACGAGGAUUCGGUCUCCAAAAGAAAACGUAAUCAAGUACAGUGUGCAACAUGUAGACAUUUGUUCCAGAUGAAGACUCUUCUCCUGCAUGUUCUCUGCAGCCCGUGUUGAUCUAGAUAAAGCAGCUGAGGAGAUAUUUAAUCCUGGCCCUGAUGAUUCCCUCUGAUAAUGUUGCCAUAUUCUAAUGGCCAGACUUUUCUUGGAAGGCAGCAGCUCUGCUUGGUCAGUUGCUAACUCUCCCUCACUUGUUGCAUAAAGCUUGUGCUUACCAGCUGGUAGUGACAUGUUAAAUUAGGAUACAAGCCCCACAAGCAAUGUGAAAGCACUAGGAGAUAACACAAACUAAGCUCUGAGAUUAAUAACAGAUAAUUCAGUUUGAAUCAAUUUUAUUUUCUUGUUUAAACAAGAAAAUAAAAUUGAUUCAAACUGAAUCUAGUGUAUAUAUAUAUAUAUAUAUAUAUACACUAGUUCCUAUUGGAGUGCGCUAUAUAUUUGUCAUACAAAUUAACACUGAAACACUUUGUACAGCAUUUAAUUGUAACAUAAAUGUAUGUAUCAAAAUAAAUCAUGCAUGUAGUUAAAUUAAAGAGAACCAGAGUGCUACACAA